rnacentral:rRNA from 1 species
AUUGAACGCUGGCGGCAGGCUUAACACAUGCAAGUCGAACGAGUGGCGGACGGGUGAGUAAUGUCUGGGAAACUGGCUGAUGGAGGGGGAUAACGACGGGAAACUGUAGCUAAUACCGCGUACCAUCGGAUGAGCCCAAGUGGGAUUAGGUAGUCGGUGGGGUAACGGAUCACCAAGGCGACGAUCCCUAGCUGGUCUGAGAGGAUGACCAUCCACACUGGGACUGAGACACGGCCCUGACUCCUACGGGAGGCAGCAGUGGGGAAUAUUGCGCAAUGGUGGCAACCCUGACGCAGCCAUGCCGCGUGAAUGAAGAAGGCCUUCUGGUUGUAAAGUACUUUCAGCGACGAGGCGUUAAUCGCAGAAGAAGCACCGGCUAACUCCGUGCCAGCCGCCGCGGUAAUUC